rnacentral:rRNA from 1 species
CCUACGGGCGGCAGCAGUGGGGAAUAUUGGACAAUGGGGGGAACCCUGAUCCAGCCAUGCCGCGGGUGUGAAGAAGGCCCUCGGGUUGUAAAGCACUUUCAGUGAGGAAGAACGCCUGGUGGUUAAUACCCAUCAGGAAAGACAUCACUCACAGAAGAAGCACCGGCUAACUCCGUGCCAGCAGCCGCGGUAAUACGGAGGGUGCGAGCGUUAAUCGGAAUUACUGGGCGUAAAGCGCGCGUAGGUGGCUUGAUAAGCCGGUUGUGAAAGCCCCGGGCUCAACCUGGAAACGGCAUCCGGAACUGUCAAGCUAGAGUGCAGGAGAGGAAGGUAGAAUUCCCGGUGUAGCGGUGAAAUGCGUAGAGAUCGGGAGGAAUACCAGUGGCGAAGGCGGCCUUCUGGACUGACACUGACACUGAGGUGCGAAAGCGUGGGUAGCAAACAGGAUUAGAUGCCCCUGUAGUC